rnacentral:rRNA from 1 species
AGUCCGUAACUGACGCUAAUGCUCGAAGGUGCGGGUAUCGAACAGGAUUAGAUACCCUGGUAGUCCGCACGGUAAACGAUGGAUGCCCGCUGUUGGCGAUACAGUGUCAGCGGCCAAGCGAAAGCGUUAAGCAUCCCACCUGGGGAGUACGCCGGCAACGGUGAAACUCAAAGGAAUUGACGGGGGCCCGCACAAGCGGAGGAACAUGUGGUUUAAUUCGAUGAUACGCGAGGAACCUUACCCGGGCUUGAACUGCAGGUGAACGAAACAGAGAUGUUGAGGUCCUUCGGGACACCUGUGGAGGUGCUGCAUGGUUGUCGUCAGCUCGUGCCGUGAGGUGUCGGCUUAAGUGCCAUAACGAGCGCAACCCUUUUUGCGAGUUGCCAUCAGGUAAUGCUGGGGACUCUUGCGAUACUGCCACCGUAAGGUGUGAGGAAGGUGGGGAUGACGUCAAAUCAGCACGGCCUGACGUGCCGGGGGCUACACACGUGUUACAAUGGGUGGUACAGAGAGUGGGCCGCGCGCAAGUUCGGUCAAAUCAUGAAAGCCAUCCUCAGUUCGGAUUGGGGUCUGCAACCCGACCCCACGAAGCUGGAUCGC